GACGAACGCUGGCGGCGUGCUUAACACAUGCAAGUCGGACGAUGAAGAAAAGAAUUGAAGCUUCGGCAGAAAUUCAUUUCGGAUUAGUGGCAGACGGGUGAGUAACGCGUGAGCAACCUACCUCUUACAAAGGGAUAGCCUCGGGAAACCGGGAUUAAUACCAUAUAACAUUGCGACGAAGCAUUUCGAUGCAAUCAAAGCUACGGCGGUAAGAGAUGGGCUCGCGUCCCAUUAACCAGAUGGUGAGGUAACGGCUCACCAUAGUAACGAUGGGUAACCGGCCUGAGAGGGUGAACGGUCACACUGGAACUGAGACACGGUCCAGACUCCUACGGGAGGCAGCAGUGGGGAAUAUUGCACAAUGGAGGGAACUCUGAUGCAGCGACGCCGCGUGAGUGAUGAAGGAAUUCGUUUCGUAAAACUCUGUUCUAUGGGAAGAAAAGGACUGUACCAUAGGAGAAAGCUCCGGCUAAAUACGUG
rnacentral:rRNA from 1 species